ACUUAAAUAAUUUAUAUAAAAUAUUGAUUUGUGGUAUCAAAAAUAUGAGUUAACUCAUUUUAAGUU
rnacentral:tRNA from 1 species